rnacentral:rRNA from 1 species
AAGAUUAAGCCAUGCAUGUCUAAGUAUAAGCAAUUUAUACAGUGAAACUGCGAAUGGCUCAUUAAAUCAGUUAUCGUUUAUUUGAUAGUUCCUUUACUACAUGGUAUAACUGUGGUAAUUCUAGAGCUAAUACAUGCUUAAAAUCUCGACCCUUUGGAAGAGAUGUAUUUAUUAGAUAAAGAACCAAUGGGUUUAGGCCCUCCUUGGUGAUUCAUAAUAACUUCUCGAAUCGUAU